GUGGGGAAUCUUGCGCAAUGGGGGAAACCCUGACGCAGCAACGCCGCGUGGGUGAUGAAGGCUUUCGGGUCGUAAAGCCCUGUCAGGUGGGAAGAAAACUGCCGGUGUGAAUACCAUCGGCAAUUGACGGUACUACCGGAGGAAGCACCGGCUAACUCCGUGCCAGCAGCCGCGGUAAUACGGAGGGUGCUAGCGUUGUUCGGAAUUAUUGGGCGUAAAGCGCGUGUAGGCGGUUGGGUAAGUCAGAUGUGAAAGUCUUCCGCUCAACGGAAGAAGCGCAUUUGAAACUGCCUGGCUAGAGUACGGGAGAGGAGAGUGGAAUUCCCGGUGUAGAGGUGAAAUUCGUAGAUAUCGGGAGGAACACCAGUGGCGAAGGCGGCUCUCUGGUCCGAUACUGACGCUGAGACGCGAAAGCGUGGGGAGCAAACAGGAUUAGAUACCCGAGUAGUCC
rnacentral:rRNA from 1 species